rnacentral:tRNA from 1 species
CCCGCCUUAGCUCAGUGGUAGAGCGCGGGACUGUAGAUCCCGUGGUCCCCGGUUCGAAUCCGGGAGGCGGGACCA